rnacentral:misc_RNA from 1 species
UUAACUAUUAUAUAGUACUCAGACAUCACUAAAAACAGAGUUUUGUUUCCUCUGGCAGGCACGCAUCAGCCGGAGCCCAUGGUGUUUCCACGGCCUGCCAAAGCAACGAAGGUAUAAUAUUCAAGGGUGGGAGAUCUACCCGUGAGGGCAUGAACUCUGUAAUGAUCCUUCCGCAGGUUCACCUACGGAAA